ACGGUUACGAAAGGCCCUCUCCUCCUCCCUGGGCCGAUCGUAUAGCGCGGCGGUGCCUCUCCUCCUCCCUGGCACCGCCGCUUUUUUUUGACCGCGUCACGACCGUUGCGGUGUGG
rnacentral:ncRNA from 20 species